rnacentral:rRNA from 1 species
CCUACGGGAGGCAGCAGUGGGGAAUUUUGGACAAUGGGGGCAACCCUGAUCCAGCAAUGCCGCGUGAGUGAAGAAGGCCCUCGGGUUGUAAAGCUCUUUUGUCAGGGAAGAAACGGUCUACUCUAAUACAGUGGGCUAAUGACGGUACCUGAAGAAUAAGCACCGGCUAACUACGUGCCAGCAGCCGCGGUAAUACGUAGGGUGCAAGCGUUAAUCGGAAUUACUGGGCGUAAAGCGUGCGCAGGCGGUUUUAUAAGACAGAGGUGAAAUCCCCGGGCUCAACCUGGGAACUGCCUUUGUGACUGUAAGGCUAGAGUGUGUCAGAGGGGGGUAGAAUUCCACGUGUAGCAGUGAAAUGCGUAGAUAUGUGGAGGAAUACCGAUGGCGAAGGCAGCCCCCUGGGAUAACACUGACGCUCAUGCACGAAAGCGUGGGGAGCAAACAGGAUUAGAUACCCUGGUAGUCCACGCCCUAAACGAUGUCUACUAGUUGUCGGGACUUAAUUGUCUUGGUAACGCAGCUAACGCGUGAAGUAGACCGCCUGGGGGAGUACGGUCGCGAGAUAACUACAANAGAGUAGACGCGUGAGACGUGCCGACGGACGACGACGAGGGAGGAGG